UGGCAAAGAGAAGGUUGGCUGUGGGACUU
rnacentral:piRNA from 1 species